AUAUAUAUGCAUAUAUACAUGCAUAUAUAUGUAUAGAUAUAUAUAUAAAUUAAAUAAAUGGAGUUAAACGCAGGUGUUUUUCAAAUUCUUUUACUUCCGACACUUUUCGAAGACAACAUUGGUAUUAUUCCAAUGGAAUAAAAUGAUGUAAAACAAUGCAAUCUUCUCAUCAGAGAGUGAAAGAAAGAAACUAGACUCAUUAAUAAGACUGUUUAGCAGAAUGUGAUGGAUGCGUAGAAUGAUGAACGGAAUGCUAUUAAUUUUUUUUUAUCAUAAACCAUUUGAGCAUAUAACGUCAAAACCUUGUUUACAAGGGUAUUCUUAGAAAAAAGAAUAGAAAAUAGUUCAGUGUUAUAGAGUUGGCAGAAUCCUUUACCUGUAUCAUAUAGGAAUGAAAUAGUGGGAAUCAACCAAUUUAAAUUAAAUUGUUCAUUAUGGUCUUUUAGAUACCAAAUUAAUUCACUAAGCCCUGUACUGUUGCAUUUAUUACUAUCCCUAAAUGUAGAGUAAUGAUUAGAAAUUCUUUUAGAUAACUGAGAAGAACUACCUAUAUAAAAAAAGACAUUGUUACUUUAGUUCAUAUAAGUGAUAUCUACCAUUAUAUAUAACUUGAACAUUGAUUUUCUUCUUACAUUUCACUUCCUCCAAUCCUUUAAGCUUUUAUUUAAUUCACAUAUCGCUCUAUAUUUCUCAUUUAUUAGUUUCCUGCUUAUUUGUUUCCUUUACCCCUCCUCUUUCUAUAGGCUACCUUUGAUGUUAUAUCCUCUAAAAGUUUAUAAAAAGAACUUAAUAGCAUUCUGUAUAUGUGUAUAUAUAUAUGUAUAUAUAUGUGUGUAUAUAUAUAUAUGUAUAGCUAUGUCUAUAUAUGUAUAUCUGUGUGUAUAUAUAUAUAUAUAUAUAUGUGUGUGUGUGUAUAUAUAUAUCUGUGUGUGUGUGUGUAUAUAUAUAUAUAUCUGUGUGUGUGUGUAUAUAUAUAUAUCUAUGUGUGUGUGUGUAUAUAUAUAUCUAUGAGUGUGUAUAUAUAUAUAUCUAUGUGUGUGUGUGUAUAUAUAUAUAUUUAUAUAUAUAUAUGUGUGUGUGUGUUUAUAUGUUUAUGUGCUUGUGCAUAUGUGUAUAUGUAUGUAUAUGUAUAUACAUAUGUAUGUAUAUAUUUAUAUGUAUAUAUAUAUAUAUAUAUAUAUAUAUAUACUUUAUUUAAAAGCAGCAGAAAUUCAACAAAACCUGUUACUCUGAGUUUCAUGUUACUCAGAGUAACAGGUUUUGUUGAAUUUCUGCUGCUUUUAAAUAAAGCAUAUUACUCUACCCCUGGUAUUUGAGUACUCUUUUUUCCACCUUGUUUCACAUUUAUGUGUUUACUCCGGUAUAUAUAUAUAUAUAUAUAUAUACAAAUAUAUACAUAUUUGUGUCUGUAUAUGUAUAUAUGUGUAUAUAUAUGUAUAAGUUUUUAUAUAUAUAUAUAUAUGUGUGCAUACAUACAUAAAUGUAUAUAUGCAUACAUAUAUAUAUAUACUUUAUUAAAAAGCAGCCAAAAUAUCACAAAACUAUUACUCAGAGUUUCACGUUCCCGUUUGUCAGACAUGUUUCUUUAUAUUUAUAUAUAUAUAUAUAUAUUCCAUUGACAUAUGCUCUAUGUAAUGUUUUAUGUAUACAUAUAUGUGUAUAUAUAUUCCAUUUACAUAUGCCGUUUAUAAUGUUUUAUAUAUACAUAUAUAUAUAUAUAUAUAUUCCAUUGACAUAUGCCAUAUAUUGUUUUGUUCUGUGUAGUGUGUGUGUGUGCAUAUAUAUAUAUAUAUUGCAUCAACAUAUGUCGUAUAUAAUGUUAUGUAUAUAUGUGUGUGUGUGUGUGUGUGUGAUACAUUGUUGUCUCCUGUGUAGUAUGUGUAUAUAUUUAUAAACACACACACACACACAUAUAUCUGAUGCAUUUAAUUUAUGCUUGUGCUGCUGUAUGUAUAGAAGAUGGGGUAUUUAUACAAAUUGUGUACAGACUACUAUAUAAAAGUCUUUUGCUAUACAGUAAUUAAAAUGUGUCAGCAAAUAAUUGCGUAAGUAUUUGUUAGUGUAAAUUGAUGUGUAUGUCUGUGUGUGUGCAUGUAAUGUGUUUGCAGGUGUUUCCUGUGUGGUAAGCUGGUUUUGUUUCACGUGUGAGAAUAAGAGGAGGAGAAAAAAAACAUGCCGUGAUGAGGGCAAAUAGUUUAAUAUAUGGUAUAUAUAAAGAGGUAUGACAAGUGCUAUAAUGACAAUUAAGUACUGGAAUAAAUAAUAUAGUCUGGAUACACAGAAAGAGACAUCUAUAACAAUUUGCUUUUCGUCGAUGUUCAGCUGAGUUUGUUGAACUCAUCUUGUCAUAUGUAAUAAUGUGUAUGUUUAUAUGCAUACAUACACAUAGGCGUAGGAGUGGCUGUGUGGUAAGUAGCCUUGCUUACCAACCACAUGGUUCCGGGUUCAGUCCCACUGCGUGGCACCUUGGGCAAGUGUCUUCUACUAUAGCUUCAGGCCAACCAAAGUUUUGUGAGUGAAUUUGGUAGACGGAAACUGAAAGAAGCCCGUCGUAUAUAUAUAUAUAUAUGUGUAUGUGUUUGUCCCCCCAACAUUGCUUGACAACCGAUGCUGGUGUGUUUACGUCCCCGUAACUUAGUGGUUUGGCAAAAAAGACCAAUACAAUAAGUACUAGGCUUACAAAGAAUAAGUCCUGGGGUUGAUUUGCUCGACUAAAAGGUGGUGCUCCAGCAUGGCCACACUCAAAUGACUGAAACAAGUAAAAGAGUAUAUAUACCCAUGCAUAUAUGUAUGCAUAUAUUCAUACACAUGCAUGCGUACAUACAUAUAUACAGGCAUACUUAUAUGUGUAUUUGUAUAUUUUUUAUCUUGUUUCAGUCAUUAGACUGCAGCCAUGCUGGAGCAUCUCCUUUUAGUCAAAUGUAUUUACCCCAGUACUUAUCUCUUUAAAGCCUCAUUUGCUGAACCCAUAAAUUAAAGGGACAUGAACACACCAGCACCUAACGUUAGGCAGUGGUGGAGGGCAAACACACACACACACACACACACACGAUGUACUUCUUUCAGUUCCUGUUGACCAGAUCCACUCGCGAGGCUUUGAUCAACCCAAGGCUAAAGUAGAAAACACUUGCCCAAGGUGCCAAGCAGUGGGGCUGAUCCAUCUGGUUGGGAAGCAAGCUUCUUAUCUCACAACCAUGUAUAAUUUUCUUUUUAUUAGGAACAUCUUUACAACUAAAAUUAAAGGAUUGUACUUGUAAGUGUAUGUUAAAUAAUAACCAUAUUUUAACGUUAGUGUGUGUGUGUGUAAAACACAUAAGGCCAUUGUGUGUAAAACACAUAAGGCCAUUGUGUGUAUUUGUGUGUGUGUGUGUGUUUUUUUUUUUUUUAAUUUUAACAUUUAUGCUUCCCUGAAAAUCACUGAGCUAGAAGCAGUGAUGCUGAUGCUAUUUCUCUCAUUAACGAAUCAUCUGUAGGCACUACUUUUGAAGACCUGUGGAUUAAGAGAUCCCUUUCCUGAAAAAUGAAUAAAUAGUUAGCAACAGGAAGUAUAUCUGGCUGCAAGGCAAUAUGUCAUUAAUGUAUCCGUAAAACCCAUCUGCGCAUGGAAACGAUACAGUGGUUUUAAAAAUGAAUGAAUAUCUGUACAUAAACACACACACACAUAGCUGUGUGGUUAAGAAGCUUGCUUUGCAUCCAUAUGGUUUCAGGUUCAGUCCCACUGCAUGGUGCCUUGGGCAAGUGUCUUGUGCUAUUAUCCCAUGGUGCAUGAAUUUGGUUGACAGAAACUAUAUGGAAGCCCAUUGUGUGUGUGUGUAUAUAUAUAUAUAGGCACAUGGCUCAGUGGUUAGAGCGUCAAGCUUAUGAUCGUGAGGUUCUGAGCUCAAAUCCUGGACCGGGCUGCGUGUUGUGUUCUUGAGCAAGACAGUUUAUUUCAUGUUGCUCCAGUUCACUCAGCUGUAGAAAUGAGUUGCGACAUCACAGGUGCCAAGCUGUAUCGGCCCUUGCCUGUCCCUUGGAUAACACUGGUAGCGUAGAGAGAGGAGGCUGGUAUGCAUGGGUGACUUCUGGUCUUCCGUAAACAACCUUGCCCGGACUUGUGCCUGGAAGGGUAACUUUCUAGGUGCAAUCCCAUGGUCAGUGUCGUGACCGAAGGGGGCCUCAGAUAUAUAUAUAUAUAUAUAUAUAUGUGUGUGUGUGUGUUUGUAACUUAGCAGUUCAGCAAAAGAAACUGACUUUAAAACAAGAUAUACUCCUCCACAUACAUAUACAUACAAGUAUGUGUGUGUCCUUAACUUGGCAUCAUGUGAUUGUUGUAAAUAAGCAUUACUGCAGUGCAGUCUUCCGAGAAAAACAUGUCCAACCAUCAAGAAAUAUUAUACAUCACUUGGAAAUAGGAGAGUCAGUGAUAGAUAGGACAUCAGGCCAUAGAAAGGUCGGCCUCAACAAUUUCUGUUUUACCAGUGCAAGCAUAGAAAAGUGGAUGCUGAAGUAAUGCAUAUUAUGAUGAUUAUUUAUGUGUGUCUGUAGCUGUAAAUUCUUUCCAUUAGCUAACCAUUCUACAGACCACACCCUGUUAUGUACCAAUGUAUAGUGACUACAGCCUAUUGUAAUCAUAAGCUAUGCUGUCAGUGAAUUACUUUCUUCAGCCAACAAUUAUUGUGAGCACUUUAUAGUAAUUGCUGUUGUUAAUACUUGUGUGUAACCUAUUGGUCUUUCUUGAUAGAUUACAUACGCUUUCUCUAAUUUCGUCGCUUCUGACAUCACACUUUAACCCUUUAGUAUUUAAACCAGCCAUAUUCCUGUGCCAGUGGUGCAUAAAAAACACCCUUUGAACUUUGGGUCCCGUGGUGGCAGUGACAAGUAUCUGAGACCUUUGGCGAUAUACUGUGCUUGAGAAGACCUGUCAAGCCAAGUGAGAUUGUAGUAGUGGCCAGUAUUGAUCUUUUGUAAUUGGCACCUGUGCCAGUGGUACUUAAAAAGCACCCACUACACUCAUGGAGUGAUUGGUGUUAAGAAAGGCAUCCAGCUGUAAAAACAAUGCCAAAUCAGACUGGAACCAGGUGCAGCUCCCCAGUUUACCAGUUUUCACUCACUACCUAACCCAUGCCAGCAUGGAAAACGAACUUAAAUGAUGAUGAUAUCAGGCCCAAAUAUUCUACCUGUGUUAUGCUCAGACUGGCCAAAUUCAGCCACUCACACCUACCCUACACAAUGACAUUCUAAAAAUAAGCAAUCACAUUAUCAAAAUCUUGAAAUAAUAAGCAUUAUAUUUGACAGAGUAAUUUGAAUCCUGAAGGGCUAAGACUCAUAAACACUUGUUUAAACUAAACUGUGAAUACAUUUUAAAAAAAUAAAUUAGUUGGAGAAAGACAAAACUAUAACAGUAAUAUUAAAUUAUUUUUUUUAGUAAUAAAAUGGACUUUUAUUUAGCAAUGUAUUUUUACGUAAGAAAAGAAAGAAAGAAAAAUUAAAAGCAUGAAAGAUUAAACUACCAAGAGAUUCCCCACCCUCACCCUGAAUUACUUCAGCAAACAAAAAGAAAAAACAGAAGGGUUAAGCCACAAAAGAUGGGUGGUGGUGGAGGCAGUUGCUAGCAACUUUCGAAUAGGAGGGGAGAUAAUUUAAAGACAUUAAGAAGUAAUCUCAAAGUUCAUUCACUUCUGAAAAAAUUUGGUCUUUGUUUGCAGGAGUGGAGACAGCUGGAGAUAUGUUUUGGUCUAUUAAUAUUUGACACAUGUAUGUUAUGACAGUAUUGCAUGCUAGAUCUAGUUUAUGUGUGCACACACACACACACGUGUGUGUGUGUAAAUAUAUGUGUACAUAUGUAUAAUUAUCAUCAUCGUUUAAUGUCUGCUUUGAUGAUGAUACAUGCAUAUACACACAUGUAUGUAUACACAUAUACAUACUCUUUACUCUUUUACUUGUUUCAGUCAUUUGACUGUGGCCAUGCUGGAGCACCUCCUUUAGUUGAGCAAAUCGACCCCAGGACUUAUUCUUUGUAAGUCUUGUACUUAUUCAAUCGGUCUCUUUUGCUGAACCGCUAAGUUAGGGGGAUGUAAGCACACCAGCAUCGGUUGUUGUCAAGCAAUGUUGGGAGGACAAACAGACACAAAAACUUAUACACACACAUACACACAUAUAUACGAUGGGCUUCUUUCAGUUUCCAUCUACCAAAUCCACUCACAAGGCUUUGGUUGACCUGAGGCCACUGUAGAAGACACUUGUCCAAAGUGCCACGCAGUGGGACUGAACCCGGAACCAUGUGGGUUUUAAGCAAGCUACUUACCACACAGCCACUCCUACGCCUAUGUAAUGUAUAUAUAUGUGUAUGUAUACAUAUAUAUAUGUGUAUAUACGUACAUAUAUGUAAUGUAUAUAUAUGUAUAUAAUGUGUGUGUGUGUGAAUAUAUGUAUGCAUAUGAAUAUGUAUGGAUAAGGCAAUUAGUAGUGUUCUUUUGUCACUCUGCCUGCUACAAAUAGCACUCAAAAGUCCAUAUGCAUUACUUUUUUUUUUAAGGUAAAUACAAGCUUAAUAAAUAUAUCAUUAGACAUACUAUCAGAACCAGCCUUAAUUCACAAAUGCCUACAGCUUGAUAACAUGUACCAUGCUUUUGUUGUUUUUUAGGAUCCUGUGUAGUCAUGCAAAGUUAGAUUCCCUCCCAUUUCUCCCACCAUUUGACCAAGUGGCACACACAGGCCAUGACAAUUGGUGGAAGGUGGGGGACAGUGAGAGAACGCUGCAACAGCACUCAACUAGUACUCAUUUUCACCUGCUUAAACUGGAGCAAUGUGAAACAAAGUCCUUUGAUCAAGGAUUCAACACUUGGUUCAGGAGUUGAACCCACAACUCCCAUGAGUGCAAAUUGAACACCCUAACUAGGCCACAUGCCUUUAUAUAACAUAGUAAGGCUGGAAAAAAAAAUGAAAUGAUCACUGCUGAAAUGCUUUUGACUCUUUGACCUGCUUAAUUACAACUGGUCUGAAAGCUCUUUUGGCUUUUUCCUCUGCCAUUUACACAUCAUAGCUAUUGGCAGUAUCUCUGUGAAGAUUGUCAAAGAGCUUAAACCUUUCAGACCCUCCCCUUUCUAGCAGCUGUGAUAUAGGACUAAUGUGCAUGGCACUGUUGUAGACAUUAAUAUGUAGCAAGAUGUAAGAUGCCCAUCUGUGUGUAUUGGACAUCUAUCUGUAUGUAUAGGACAUCCUUGUGUGUGUGUAUCUGUCCAUCUGUGUGUGUGUAUAGUGUGUUCAUCUGUGGACAUGUAAAUGUGGUAGACCUAAUCUGUCACCUUGUCUGACCCAACCAUCUGGCCCUUUGGUUGUCUUUGGCAGAUUACUCUAUUGUAAGUAUACAGGCUGGGUACAUAGUUUAAGGAAAACAUCCUACCAGUAUCAGGAGCCCUAAAACGGAUCACAAGCACUGUCAUUCCUCCUGAAUAAAUGGUAAAAAAAAAUGCGAUCUGUGUGUUGUGUGUGUGUUCAUCUAUGAGUUUAGUGUGUCCU
rnacentral:lncRNA from 1 species